rnacentral:rRNA from 1 species
GAUGAACGCUGGCGGCGUGCUUAACACAUGCAAGUCGAACGAUGAAGCCCAGCUUGCUGGGUGGAUUAGUGGCGAACGGGUGAGUAACACGUGAGUAACCUGCCCUUAACUCUGGGAUAAGCCUGGGAAACUGGGUCUAAUACCGGAUAGGAGCGUCCACCGCAUGGUGGGUGUUGGAAAGAUUUAUCGGUUUUGGAUGGACUCGCGGCCUAUCAGCUUGUUGGUGAGGUAAUGGCUCACCAAGGCGACGACGGGUAGCCGGCCUGAGAGGGUGACCGGCCACACUGGGAAUGAGACACGGCCCAGACUCCUACGGGAGGCAGCAGUGGUGAAUAUUGCACAAUGGGCGAAAGCCUGAUGCAGCGACGCCGCGUGAGGGAUGACGGCCUUCGGGUUGUAAACCUCUUUCAGUAGGGAAGAAGCGAAAGUGACGGUACCUGCAGAAGAAGCACCGGCUAACUACGUGCCAGCAGCCGCCGUAA